GCAUGUCUGUGUCUGCAUAUCUGUGUGUGUGUAUGUGUCUUUGUGUCUGUGUGUCUGUGUGUCUCUGCGUGUGUGGGGUGGAGGGCACUGGAGCAGUGAUGGUAAGGGUUAAUGGGAGAUGAUCAAGACUGAGAAAUGUUCUGAGCUGGAGGAUGGCUUUCAAAAUUUCCAAAAUGCUUGAAAAUUCGAACUGGAAUGCUGCUCCUGCCACCUGACUGCAUGCCUGACACCCCACGCCCCACAGCUCGGAGCCCCUCUCAGCAAGGGGCCCCACAGCAUCCCACAGAGAUUCCCACUCAGCUGCCUGUUCAGAGGACUCCUCUGGUCUCUGCCAGUUUCCUGCGAGAUGCUUGCACAUCCUGAGACCCCACUGCUUCAUCAGCAACAUGGGAAUAAUAAUACCAAUAUCCACUGCACAGGACUGGUGUGAAAAAUGAAUGCAUGAACACAGAAAAAAGCACAGUGCCAGACACAUGGGAGGGGAUCAUAUGUUUUUGUUUCUGAACACUGAGUGGGUGACAGCCAUGUGGCAAGAGGAGGAAAGCGUGGAGUUGGGGGCCAGACAGACUCUGCAUCAAGACCUAGUUCUCACCUUUCUCACUGUUUGGCCUUGGGCAAGCCCCUGAAUCUCUCUGGACCUCAGUUCCAGCCUUCCUUCCACCAUGGCUCCGUUAUGAACCCCACCUUCAGCUCCAGGACUAAUCCACCUGCAAAACCCAGCCCCCUUGCCCAGGGAGAUAGGGAGAAGCCACCAGCCAGGCGGGAGAACACAGAUCCAGAAUUGAACUCAUGACCUCAGCUCGUCUUGCCAAUGUGAAGCAUGUGACUUCAUUUUGCAGGUCAGAAGAGUAAAGCUGUCCAUGCCGGCUGGACAUGAACAAGGAGGCUGCCAUCCUAUGCACAGCCCCCUACAUGGCUGGUAGCCAUCUUGUGAUCAUGUCAGAAGCCAGGCUUGGGGUGAUGUUGACUCUGAGGAGGCCAGAGAGGCAGGUGGAGCCAAACCAGGGGAUAUUGUGUAGCCACUGGAUCCAACCCCUCCUGAAGCCAACCCAUCUCUGGCCCUUUCAGUUAUAGCAGGCAAUUAAAACCCUGUUGUGCAUAAGUCAGUCUGAGCAUGUUUUCUGUUGGUUGCAAGAAAGAUGCUCCCUACUUACCACCUUACACCUUACACUGUGAUACGUUGCCAAUUUAAGCCAGAGUUUUGGUGAUUGUGUCUGUUUCAAGAAGACUAUCCUCAGCUCAACUCAGGUCCAUCUAAAUCAUCUCAGAGGAAAAUUCAAAGCCCCAAGUCCUUCAAGGUACCCAAGUCUCCCCCUCCUGGUUUCUUUGCUGCCCAGGUGCACAAAGUGUGUCCCAGAGUCUAAAGAUAGAUGUGGAUCAGCUAUGGUCUGGAUGUUUAUGUUCGCCCGAAAUUCAUGGGUUGAAAUCCUAACCCCCAAGGUGAGGUUAUUGGGAGGUAGGGACUAUGGGAUUGUUAGGUCAUAAUGGCAAGACCUUCGUAAAUGGGAUUAGUGCCCUUAUAAAAGAGGCCUGAGAGACACUCCUCGUCCCUUCCACCAUGUGAGCACAUGGCAAGAAAGUGCCAUGUAUGAACCAUAAAAUAGGCCUUCUCCAGAUAUUGAAUCUGCCAGUACCUUAAUCUUGGACUUCUCAGCCUCCAGAACGAUGAAGACCCCUAGACUUCAGAGAAGAUGAUAUCUAAGUGUCAGAGCUGGGAUUCCAAACCAGAUCUGUCCAGCUCCGAAGACUGAGCUCAUAACCCUUAACACUAAUCCCCUCUCUGACCCAGCGCUGUGAUUCUAGGCUAGUCUGAUUAAAGCCCCAGAAUUUCACAACCUUUUAAGAAUACAGUCAAGAAAGAAGAGAUCAUUGUUUCAACCUGCCUCUGAAUCGUAGUAAAUAACGGGCCCUGAUAUUAACAAGGCAGCUUCCCUCCUAAGUGCGAAGGACCCUUGAAAAGGGUAUCUUAAUCAUGGGUGUCAUAUUUUAUGAUUGUGUCUGUUUGUAUUUAGUACACUUGUUAUCCUUGAUGUUUUCGCCCUGAGGACAUCAACUGAACAAAGUUGCAUACAUCUUUGUGGAUUACCCUUUCUGCAUCCAUAAGUUAUCUGCUCUUUUAAAAUAAUUUGUACUAAAACACCGAGAGUUUUUUCUAAUGGGAAUAGACAGCUAGUGUUUUUUUAAUGCAAAUGACUUCUCCCCACAUUCUCCCCAGCCCAAAGCUAAAUCUGCAUCAGCAUCGGAGGGGCUCGGUGCUUCUAGAAGCAAUUUAGGCACAGCAGUUGGGAAUGGCAGUGUGACUUAAAGCCCCUUGCUCCGUAUUAGGGAAAGCUACAUGCGAAUUCCGAAAGAGAUUCCAUAGGAUGAGCAGAGAUGUGUUCAGGGCAUUUAUUAUCAUACUCGCUGCUCUUGUUUUUAAGAAACCAGCUUCUGUUCAGGUGGUUUUGUUUGUAUGCAAAGAUUAAACUGUUAAAUAAAAUCACAAGCACCGUC
rnacentral:lncRNA from 1 species